rnacentral:rRNA from 1 species
UACGUAGGGUGCAAGCGUUAAUCGGAAUUACUGGGCGUAAAGCGUGCGCAGGCGGUGAUGUAAGACAGGUGUGAAAUCCCCGGGCUUAACCUGGGAACUGCAUUUGUGACUACAUCGCUGGAGUGCGGCAGAGGGGGAUGGAAUUCCGCGUGUAGCAGUGAAAUGCGUAGAUAUGCGGAGGAACACCGAUGGCGAAGGCAAUCCCCUGGGCCUGCACUGACGCUCAUGCACGAAAGCGUGGGGAGCAAACAGG